rnacentral:rRNA from 1 species
UGGCGGCGUGCUUAACACAUGCAAGUCGAACGAACCUUCGGGUUAGUGGCGGACGGGUGAGUAACGCGUGAGAAUCUGCCCUCAGGAGGGGGAUAACGGUUGGAAACGGCCGCUAAUACCCCAUAUGCCGCGAGGUGAAAUGAAUUUCGCCUGAGGAUGAGCUCGCGUCUGAUUAGCUAGUUGGUGUAGGUAAUGGCUCACCAAGGCAUCGAUCAGUAGCUGGUCUGAGAGGAUGAUCAGCCACACUGGGACUGAGACACGGCCCAGACUCCUACGGGAGGCAGCAGUGGGGAAUUUUCCGCAAUGGGCGAAAGCCUGACGGAGCAACGCCGCGUGAGGGAUGAAGGCCUCUGGGCUGUAAACCUCUUUUAUCAAGGAAGAAGAUCUGACGGUACUUGAUGAAUAAGCCACGGCUAAUUCCGUGCCAGCAGCCGCGGUAAUACGGGAGUGGCAAGCGUUAUCCGGAAUUAUUGGGCGUAAAGCGUCCGCAGGCGGCCCUUCAAGUCUGCUGUUAAAAAGUGGAGCUUAACUCCAUCAUGGCAGUGGAAACUGUUGGGGCUUGAGUGUGGUAGGGGCAGAGGGAAUUCCCGGUGUAAGCGGUGAAAUGCGUAAAUAUCGGGGAAAAACAC